CGGUAUGUUCACGUUACGCACGCGGGCACCAAUUUCGGCAAAUUCGAUCGCUCGUAAGUGGAUCGAGCCGAUUUAUGAGCGUUUUGAACUCGACUGGCUUUGUUUACAUUUCUUGGUUCUUUCGGUAAAGUCACGUAGAUGGGAAAUAAUAAAAUAAUAAAAAUUUCACAUGGAAAAUAAUCAAAUAUAAUUUUUUAUAUAAUAUACAAAAAAUGUAUUAUGUUAUAUUUUUAUUAUUUUAUAAUACCCUUCUACGUGACUUUACCGAAAGAACCAAGAAAUGUAAACAAAGCCAGUCGAGUUCAAAACGCUCAUAAAUCGGCUCGAUCCACUUACGAGCGAUCGAAUUUGCCGAAAUUGGUGCCCGCGUGCGUAACGUGAACAUACCGUGAAUCAAAAUGUUAACGUCAGUUGAAACCAUGGGGUCUUGUGGGAGGCGAAACGUUAGGGGCCGUCCAUAAAUGACGUCACGCGAUUUUGUACGAUUUUUGACCCCCCCCCCCGUCACACGGCGUCACAAAAACUCAGACCCCCCCCCCCCUCAAAUAUGACGUCACAAAUCUCUGCCCCCCCCCCAAACCAUAUUUCUAUUUUAAAAUAAAACAUGCUUCAAAUCGCUUUAAACUAUUGUCAUUGUAGUGCGUAUUUAAUGUGGCGCUGCACUCUGAUGUUGUAGGAGAAAACAUUUAUUAAAAGUCUAUUUAAUUAAGUGGAACGUGUUGUCUAUGUAUUUAAAGUUGCGUAUUUUGAUGUGACGUCACAUUUCUCAAACCCCCCCCCCCCCUCGUCACACAUCGUCACAAAUGUCUGACCCCCCUCCUAGUUGCGUGACGUCAUUUAUGAACGGCCCCUUAACCGAAAAACCGUUAACCGAUGUCACCGUUUACCGAGGGACUACUAUACUUCUAAAAGGUUGCGUGCAAUUGAUUUUUUUAAAGAUCGUUGUGAUAACGACGUUGAAGUGGCUGUAGGGGAACAAUUGAACCGACUGCAUAUAUCAGAAUCGACAUUUUUACACGAUUUUACACGUAUUGCUACUAAUUGAAUCGCAGUGCAUUGUUGUAACUACUCGGAAAAUCCUAGUCAUUGUGAUGUGUACAAUUUAUACGUAUGAAUAAACACAAUUCAACUCAAAAGUC